GAUGAACGCUGGCGGCGUGCCUAAUACAUGCAAGUAGAACGCUGAAGGAAGGAGCUUGCUCUUUCCGGAUGAGUUGCGAACGGGUGAGUAACGCGUAGGUAACCUGCCUGGUAGCGGGGGAUAACUAUUGGAAACGAUAGCUAAUACCGCAUAACAGUAGAUGUUGCAUGACAUUUACUUGAAAGGUGCAAUUGCAUCACUACCAGAUGGACCUGCGUUGUAUUAGCUAGUUGGUGAGGUAACGGCUCACCAAGGCGACGAUACAUAGCCGACCUGAGAGGGUGAUCGGCCACACUGGGACUGAGACACGGCCCAGACUCCUACGGGAGGCAGCAGUAGGGAAUCUUCGGCAAUGGACGGAAGUCUGACCGAGCAACGCCGCGUGAGUGAAGAAGGU
rnacentral:rRNA from 1 species